CUAAAGGGAGAGCAGUUUAUUUCUAGGCUCACUCUAGAUUUUCCUGUAUUAGAAGAACAGCAAACAGUUGACAAAUAUUUUGUUUGGGGGCUGAGAUGGCCAGCGAACUUGCAGGCAGUGAGCCCAGAUGACCACACAAUCCUGCCACGGGGUUCCCACUUCCUCCUGGAGGCCGCCCUAGAACGGGGCCUGCAGCAAUGGGCAGCCCCUCCAGUUUAGCCACGUCCCCUGGGAGGCACAACCCAGGACCGAGGUUUGCUCCGGAGGAUCGGCUGGCGCGUCUCGCGGUAGCACAGCCCGGGGCCCCUGCACCACCUGCAGCCCGGGCCUCCCCACGAUCGCGAGUCCCACCUGGGCACAGUCACUUCGGGACCCACGCAGGCUCUCUUCCUCCUAGGCACCCACACUCACCAGACCAGUCCAGAAGAGGAAGAACAGGAACAGCCAGUGCCGCUGACCUGCAGCCGCGGGCAGGUAGCGCUCGACCCCGGGCCUCAACAAGGCUGAAGGCAUUGCUCUCCGCGCAGCCAUGAGGGAAACUGAGGCACGGGGCAGCCGUGAUGGGACACGCCCGAUGAGACACAGCCAGAAUUUCCUAAAAAUCCAUUUAUUGGAGCAAUGGACCGACCAGCUACCCAACUAGUUCUCAUCAGGAUAACAGUUCCUACUCUGACCCACGAAUCAUCAACUCACUUAUCACAUGACUGUGGCCUUCAAGACUCACUUGGAACCCUCCCCUUGCCUGUCCAGCAAUCCUCAACUAUUGCAUAACCAAGUUGCCCAAGCUAAUUAGCCUGUCUACAUUAAAGGAUGCAGGGUCUAUGGUAGACCCUGAGAAAUCUAUAAAUAUCUCACCUUGAAACACAUCAAACAUGCUUCUAUUAAUAAAUUUAUGAUAGUACAAAUAAAUAAUAAAUGAUAAAGCCUCAUUGAUUGCCUUUAGAAGUGUCUAGGGGUCAGACUCAUUAUUUUUGAAAACUGGUUAAGGAAAGGAAAAGAAGCACAUAUCCCGCCUCUCCUAUAUGAACUAUACUUUAGGGUAAUCACAUAACUAAUAAAGAACAUUUCUCUUCAUAGAAAUAUUCUGGCUUAUAUAAGUGCAGAAGGAAUUAUAGAAUUUAGGAUAUCAUAGUCUGCCAAACAUGACAACGAAGGGACAAUCAGACAUCAGUCUUCCAUCCGUGGAGUGCACAUUGCCACUUGUAAGGUACUCAACCCGCAAAGUCUGCACGAAUCUACCAAUUUAUAAGAAAUAGAGGAAACAGGGUAGCCCCGGUGGCUCAGCAGUUUAGCGCCGCCUACAGCUCAGGGCAUGAUCCUGGAGACCCAGGAUCGAGUCCCACAUCAGGCUCCCUUCAAGGAACCUGCUUCUCCCUCUGCCUGCGUCUCUGCCUCUCUCUCUGUCUCCUCUCUGUGUAUUCUCAUGAAUAAAUAAAUAAAAUCUUAAAAAAAAAAGAAAUACAGGAAACAGAGGAACAAGUCAAAUGAUACCACAUGGAUUCCGUCAGCAAAACCAAGAUUGGGAGAGUCCCAGACACAUGACCUAGUUUUAACAUCAUCCACAACAGUAGCAGCAGCAAAGGUUAUAUGGGAAAAAAAGACAGAGGAGAAACCUAUAAAUUAAAAGACACUUGGGAGGUAUUUUAACACAUAACAGAAGACAUUGGUUAGCUCCAGAUUAAACCAACUGGAAAAAAUAAAAGGAAAGACCUUUUAGAGGACUGAUUGGAUAUUUGAUAAUUUGAAGUAGUUUAUAUUAAGGAAUUUGAGGGUCUGAUAUCAUUAGUGUCAAAUUUAAGGAGAGUCAUUAUCAUUUAGAUUUGCAUACUAAAACUUCUACAAAAUAGCCAGCUGUCUGGGAUUGCUUCACAAAAUCCAGGGCAAUCAUUUUCUUACACCAUACACAAAAAUAGACUCAAAAUGGAUGAAAGACCUAAUGUGAGACUGGAGUCCAUCAGAAUCCUAGAGAAGACCAUAGGCAUCA